AAUGAAGAAGCUGGUGGACUGAGCUCUCAGGACGCUGGCAAAAGUGUGAGAAGACAGGUCAGGGACCGCCCUUCUGGCAGGUCACUAGAUGCAUAUAGGGAGAACUUACCCAGGCGGUCACACAGGAGGUUCUCUGAGGAAGGCCACUCCACGCAGAACAAGGAUGACCUCGAGGAGGAAUAUGAAGAUGAGGACCUUGUUUCUCAUCCAGGCCUUGACUUUAGAAAUGGCUCAAAAGAGGACCAAGGCUUCCUGUCCAACAGAAAGGGAGUCUCGCCUAGGUUGCCUGCUAGCAAGUCCCCUGGCUGGACUCAGGCAGUUUCACACUCUCCAAGAAGAGACACUUACUUGCAUAGUGCAGAAAUUAGUCCCAGAAGGGCAGUCCAACACAGGGCAAACAAGCACAAUCAUGAGAUAAGAAAUGAAAGAGACUACCAAACAGAGAGAAACGAAUGGGAAGGGAUAAAAAUAAAGCAAGAGCAGGAGAAUGGCACAGAAAUGGAGGUUGAUGAGGACUAUGGGGACUUCAAGGUCUUUGAAGACAGCAUGAGAGAAGCAUACUACAGAAAUAGCCAUGGUGGCACAUCCCAGGGCUCCAGACCCCUGAGUAACACAGACCAAAAACACAGCUCUCUAGAUGAGAUUGUUAACAAGUGUGUGAAUGGCCGACAAAUGUUAAAGAAUGCCAUGGAUGGUUCCUUUGGGGAAGCUGCUGCUAGUUGCAGCAAAUUACCAGUGGGAGCAGAGAAGUCAAGCAAGCUUCAGCCAGAACUCAUUGAGCACGAAGGCUUCUUCCAGAUUGGACACCAGAACAUCCCUGGUGAAGAGAGCUAUGUUCUCUCUAUUACAAUUGUCUUUGCCAAAAAUUUAGAACAGCUUAUGCCAAAUAAAAUGCAAACAACCAGUAUUCCUGCAUGCUUCAGCUACUCUCUGCUGGGCUACCCAAUCAAGACGGAUCCCAUCAAGGAUCUAAAACAGCCAAACUUCCUGGCUGAGCGAGCUGCGGGGAAGAUCCGGGCUACACCUGCCAACCUUUCUGCAUACUUCAGCCAGAACCCACAGCUACAAAUCCACCUUCUCAUAGGUGACGUGCGUCUCGCAAGCACCUCUGUCAAUCUAUCUGCUUUUGAAGAUGUUGGGGACCUCAUCCCAGAGGCACCUCUUGUAGUUGAAGGUGGCUAUUCACUGGUUCCUGUGGUGGCACACCCUGCUGACAUUGAGGAAGAGAAGGAUCCAGUUCUUGGGAUAGUGGCAGAGUUGUCCAAGGUGCCAAGGAGUGAGUUGUCAGUCAGACAUCCCACUGAAAUGAUGAAGGUUAAUUCUGAGAGUCACAACUCCUUGAACUCAUCCAGUGAGGCAUCAAGCGAUGACAGUGACUCCGAAGAGGAGAGGCAGAGGCAGGUGUGCCGCUCACAGUGGGGAAGUGUCCAUCACAGUGAGAGCAAGCCAAGGACUUCCUUCACUGGUGAAAUGUUGGAACAGAAGGAGCUGGCAAGUGAGAUCCACAAACAACGUCUACAGCUCCUUUGUGCAGCUGCCAUUGAGGUGGAGACAUGGAAAGAGGACCAACAGGAGCUCUUCUGGAAACAGUGGUGCUCAAGGGAGUCUGAGCUGCAGCAGCAUUUGGCCGCAGAGUGGAGAGUGCGAGUGAAUACCAUAGAGGCCAACCUGCGCAACCAGUUAGGCAAGUGUGACACACUGCAGAACCGACUAUCUUCAGCACUAACCAACCUGUCAGCCAGGGAGGUCAUUGUCAAGAACAGGGAACAGAAGCUGAAAUGGCUUGAGGAUGAGCUGGAGCAGCAGCGCCAGAUCUUGAAGGAACGUGACAAAAGCUCAACGGCAGAAGACAGAAGCAUGCCCGACAGUGAUGUGUGGGAGGAGCUUGUGAUGGAGAGGAAGAAGCGAAGAGCAUUGGAAAAACAGGUCGAGGAGCUGAAAGGAAGGACUCUGCUGGCAGAGACAAAGUUGCGAGAGGAGGAAAAAUUGUCGAAGGAAGCUUCCAACCUGCGCAGAGAAAAGGAGAAGCUGUCUGAACAGCUAGCAGCAGCAGUGAGCAAAAAGCAGUACUACAAACUGCAAUGGGUGCGCUCGAUUAGCCAGCUGCACCAGCUCCAUGUUGCACAGGCACAGGAUACACUUGCGAUCAAGUCUGAGGUUGUGAGUUCUUCUCCAGAACCAUUGUACCCUUCUCCUAGUAGAGCGGUUGGGAAUCUACCAGAGGAGAAUCUAGAGGACCAUGUGCUCUUCUUAGAGCCAACAAGAGAUGCUCGUGGCAACAAGGUCUCACCUAAGAAGAGCCUUCAGGCGCAAAGGGCAUCUAAGGCUGGUAAUGGAGUGGUUUCAGAAAAUGCUGGUAGACUAGGACACAGAAGGCAGUAUGUAGAGGAUGACAAUUCACAACAAAGGAGAAGAUCAAGCUCAAGCUCAAGGCUUAGUGCUGGGGAUGUUGAGAGAUCCCCCAGAACAAGAAGGAAACUAGGGUCAGGCAUGGAAAAUGACAGUGAAGAGUUUCAAGACGUAUCAGCAUCCAGAAAAAGACCAUUGCAGGCCAGCCCUCACAGAGGGAAGCAAGAAAGAUGGGACCCACAUAGAGAAGAUAGAGAAAUGAUGGCAUCAGAAAAAGAAAUGAAUUUAUCAAGAGCGGGGAGGUUGAACUCAAGUCUAGAACUGGAAAGGCUCAUGAGGGAAAGGGAAAGUUUGCUUGAGACGAGUGACUUAGAACUGUACGAAUCUCGCCUGCAAAAUGUGGAGAAAAAAAUCAGAGAUGCUGUUGAAUUAUAAAGACCAGUCAGGGACAGCAGUAUUUACAUGAAAAUAAUGGAAAAUUCCCUUAUAUGCCUGGAAAUGCUCUGAAGGUUGUAAGUGUGCUGGUGGGAUAUGGACCCUUGCAGUAGUGUGGUAUCUGAUGAGGAGGCAGCUGCAAUGAGAGACUUGUUAUGCCUAAGCAGAUCCAAGUGUAGGAAGCCCAAAAGUGGCAUAUGCACAAAUUGUUAAUUGAAUGAAAGGAAACUUCUGGGAAGUUCAAGAUCCUAUUCCAUGUCGCCUUCAUGUGCUGAAUUUUCGUGAUGAAAGCAGUGAGAGGCUUCCUUUAUGUUAGUGCUGAAACAAUAACUUUUAUUUGCAUUUUUGUAUGUUAGAUUUUUCCCAAGGAAGAAUAAUAUACAUUUUUCCUGUGAACAUCAAAUGACAAUGAUUUUCACACACACACACACACACACACACACACACACACACACACACACACACACACACACACACACACACAC
rnacentral:misc_RNA from 1 species